CCUGGGCUUAACCUAGGGCGGUCAGAUAAUACUGUUUAACUCGAGUACAAGAGAGGGUAGUGGAAUUUCCGGUGUAGCGGUGAAAUGCGUAGAGAUCGGAAGGAACACCAGUGGCGAAGGCGGCUACCUGGCUUGAUACUGACACUGAGGCACGAAAGCGUGGGGAGCAAACAGGAUUAGAUACCCUGGUAGUCCACGCCGUAAACGAUGUCAACUAGCUGUUGGAG
rnacentral:rRNA from 1 species